AUUGAACGCUGGCGGCAGGCUUAACACAUGCAAGUCGAGCGCGCGGCGGACGGGGGAGGAAUGUCUGGGAAACUGCCUGAUGGAGGGGGAUAACUACUGGAAACGGUAGCUAAUACCGCAUACCAUCAUAUGUGCCCAGAGGGGUUUAGCUAGUAGGUGGGGUAAUGGCUCACCUAGGCGAGGAUCCCCACCUGGUCUGAGAGGAUGACCAGCAACACUGGAACUGGGACACGGUCCAGAAUCCUGCGGGAGGCAGCAGUGGGGAAUAUUGCACAAUGGGCGCAAGCCUGAUGCAGCCAUGCCGCGUGUGUGAAGAAGGCCUUCGGGUUGUAAAGCACUUUCAGCGAGGAGGCGUUACUCGCAGAAGAAGCACCGGCUAACUCCGUGCCAGCAGCCGCGGUAAUUC
rnacentral:rRNA from 1 species